AUGCAUACUUUUCAGAUGCCUGGCUGGUCUCUCCCCAUACUCAUGUCCACUCUGGCUACCAGCAACAGGGUGAGUUCCAUCUCUUUAAUAGUUGAUGCCCCAGUGGGAACAGCUGUGACUUUGCACUGGGAAAAAACCUGUGGAGGAGUCCUUCCACCAAGACCUGUGAUCAAAACAAAGAUAUUUGGACAAAAGCAGGGGUUGGUAAGUGUAUGUCAAAGAGUUAAAUAUUGGGAUAAAAUCAAAUCGGGACAAUACUCACUGGGGAAAUCUAUUCUCCAAUCAGCUCUGCUUGACACCUCGUUUUCAGGGCAAAUUGGUUUCCCUCUUUGCAUUUCUGGUGAAAGUGUAUAAGUGCUUGACCUGACUUGAUGACAUUCAUUUCCUGAAAAUUCAAAGGAGCCUCGCAAUGCUGUGAUCUCUCGUUCUGCUGUUUUAACUUUGCGUUUCAGCGUUUCGUUUUCUUUGUCCUUCUCGGCCAACUUACUUUGAUAUUCUUGUAUUUUGGCACUGUUGAUACUAGAAAUAACACUCACAACAGUAUGUAUCGCUGUUCUAACUGCAUGUUCGACUGCACGAGCGUCGUCUUCAUUUUGCAAAAAGGAGAACGUUGCUCUACUAUGGAAAUAAUUCAUUUUUUUUCAACAUGAAAGCCGGCCACUAAAGACUGCAUGUGCACCCAGCAGUGCUAUCCGACCGCUUCUAACGCAGGUGAUGAGAUAAUAACAAAUUGGUAAGAGAACGAACCGGCGGUAUUUCAAAAGAACACGUUAAUAGUAGAAAAAAUAAAACAACAGACCCAGUUCAUGUUGAUUAUCUCCAAACAACAUUCACUUCCGCAUGUAUUUUAAAGGUGGUGGCGAAGUCACAGCGUCGUCUAGUGGUAGCUAACUCAAUACUGAUUUUGUUUCAAGUUUCACGUUUUAAUGUCACAUGCGCAAGUACAGUGAAAUGCCUUUCUUGCAAACUCAAAACCCAACAAUGCAUUAAUCAAUAACAAUGUAUCACUAGAAAGGAACACACGAGAAAUACUAAUAAGAAAUAUGAAAUACGCCGUAAAGCAAGUAAGUAGGCAUACUAUAUACAGGACAUAUUUAAAAAGUCAGUUCCAAUACUAUGCAUGUGCAGGGAUACUGCAGUGAUGGAGGUAGACAGGUAUAAGGGUAAGGGGACUAGGCAACGGGAUAUAAGAUAGACAGAGUAGCAGCAGCUUGCAUGUGAGUUGGCGUGCGGGUGUGUUGGAGUGACAGGGUGUGUGAGUGUGGUGCCCUGUUAGUGUGCAUAGGCAUUGCAAAUAUUGAAAUAAAAGGGCCAACUUGCAGUAGCAGCUUUUCUCCACAUGAUGGUAGUAGUAUACAGCAAAUAAUAUGGACAUAAGGGAAGAAAGUUGCCCAUUGCUCCAAUGCUGUAGGUACCAGCCUUUGACGGAAGGUCCAUCAUAUAUGCACAGGUGCAUUAUAUCAUCAAAAUAAAGCCAGAAAUUUUAUGGGAAUAUCUUUACAAAUUGAUGUGGAUAUAUGCAUAUAAUGUGGUUUGCUGGCUCAUAGCAUUUCAGGUUAUGGAUAUGCAUGGAAAUCUAAA
rnacentral:lncRNA from 13 species